rnacentral:rRNA from 1 species
AAUAGAUACCCAGGUAGUCCACCCCGUAAACGUUGGGAACUAGUUGUGGGUCCUUUCCACGGAUUCCGUGACGCAGCUAACGCAUUAAGUUCCCCGCCUGGGGAGUACGGCCGCAAGGCUAAAACUCAAAGGAAUUGACGGGGACCCGCACAAGCGGCGGAGCAUGCGGAUUAAUUCGAUGCAACGCGAAGAACCUUACCAAGGCUUGACAUACACCAGAACACCCUAGAAAUAGGGGACUCUUUGGACACUGGUGAACAGGUGGUGCAUGGUUGUCGUCAGCUCGUGUCGUGAGAUGUUGGGUUAAGUCCCGCAACGAGCGCAACCCUCGUUCUAUGUUGCCAGCACGUAAUGGUGGGAACUCAUGGGAUACUGCCGGGGUCAACUCGGAGGAAGGUGGGGAUGACGUCAAAUCAUCAUGCCCCUUAUGUCUUGGGCUUCACGCAUGCUACAAUGGCCGGUACAAAGGGCUGCAAUACCGUGAGGUGGAGCGAAUCCCAAAAAGCCGGUCCCAGUUCGGAUUGAGGUCUGCAACUCGACCUCA